rnacentral:rRNA from 1 species
UACAGAGGGUGCGAGCGUUGUUCGGAAUUAUUGGGCGUAAAGCGCGCGUAGGCGGCUAUUUAAGUCGGAUGUGAAAGCCCUUGGCUCAACUGAGGAAGUGCACCCGAAACUGAAUGGCUUGAGUACCAAAGAGGGUCGCGGAAUUCCCGGUGUAGAGGUGAAAUGCGUAGAUAUCGGAAGGAACGCCGGUGGCGAAAGCGACGCGCUGGGCCCUUUCUGACGCUGAGGCGCGAAAGCCAGGGGAGCAAACGGG